AUUCUAGAGCUAAUACAUGCUGAAAGCCCCGACCUCCGGGAGGGGUGUGUUUAUUAGAUAAAAAACCAACGCCCUUCGGGGCUCCUUGGUGAAUCAUGAUAACCUCACGGAUCGCAUGGCCUUGCGCCGGCGAUGGUUCAUUCAAAUUUCUGCCCUAUCAACUUUCGAUGGUAGGAUAGUGGCCUACCAUGGUGGCAACGGGUAACGGGGAAUUAGGGUUCUAUUCCGGAGAGGGAGCCUGAGAAACGGCUGCCACAUCCAAGGAAGGCAGCAGGCGCGCAAAUUACCCAAUCCCGACACGGGGAGGUAGUGACAAUAAAUACUGAUACAGGGCUCUUUCGGGUCUUGUAAUCGGAAUGGGUACAAUCUAAACCCCUUAACGAGGAACAAUUGGAGGGCAAGUCUGGUGCCAGCAGCCGCGGUAAUUCCAGCUCCAAUAGCAUAUAUUAAAGUUGUUGCAGUUAAAAAGCUCGUAGUUGAACCUCGGGCCUGGCUGGUCGGUCCGCCUCACCGCGUGCACUGGUCCGGCCGGGCCUUUCCUCCUGGGGAGCCGCAUGCCCUUCACUGGGUGUGCCGGGGAUCCAGGACGUUUACUUUGAAAAAAUUAGAGUGUUCAAAGCAGGCCUAUGCUCGAAUACAUUAGCAUGGAAUAAUAGAAUAGGACGUGCGGUUCUAUUUUGUUGGUUUCUAGGACCGCCGUAAUGAUUAAUAGGGACAGUCGGGGGCAUCCGUAUUCAAUUGUCAGAGGUGAAAUUCUUGGAUUUAUUGAAGACGAACUACUGCGAAAGCAUUUGCCAAGGAUGUUUUCAUUAAUCAGUGAACGAAAGUUAGGGGAUCGAAGACGAUCAGAUACCGUCGUAGUCUUAACCAUAAACCAUGCCGANNNNNNNNNNNNNNNNNNNNNNNNNNNNNNNNNNNNNNNNNNNNNNNNNNNNNNNNNNNNNUUGGGUUCUGGGGGGAGUAUGGUCGCCAGGCUGAAACUUAAAGAAAUUGACGGAAGGGCACCACCAGGCGUGGAGCCUGCGGCUUAAUUUGACUCAACACGGGGAAACUCACCAGGUCGACUGUCUGGGCCUGGAAAAGCGAGGCCCACGGGGGUUCGCUAGUGCCGCGUAUUCCAUGUGGGGAGGCCCCUGAAUUUGGGCAUGGGGGGCGUCCGCGCUACGCGGACGUCGAUGCGGUGCAACACCAGCUGGUACAGGGGAUGCCAGGGCGUGUGGUGCAUCCUCACGUCGGGCCAAUCCUGUGGCGAGCUCGGGUAGCGCCGAGCCGUCGCAACGCGCGCCAAGCGGUGGGUCCUCCCCCGGCGGGGGUUCGGGCUUAAGGUACGUGCUAAUCCCACGGGCAACCGUGCCCUGACCGAUGAGGUCCAAAUGCCAAAGCGGCAGGGGUUCUCCCGCAUCGCCCCGGGAGAAUGGCAUGGGAGAAACUGCCAGACACAAUAAGGAUUGACAGAUUGAGAGCUCUUUCUUGAUUUUGUGGGUGGUGGUGCAUGGCCGUUCUUAGUUGGUGGAGUGAUUUGUCUGCUUAAUUGCGAUAACGAACGAGACCUUAACCUGCUAAAUAGCCCGGCCAGCCUUGGCUGGUCGCCGGCUUCUUAGAGGGACUAUCGGCUCAAGCCGAUGGAAGUUUGAGGCAAUAACAGGUCGAUCUUCUCACAGGCCUGUUAUAGUGGGGCAAGUAACGAUGUGGCCCGCUAGUUCAACGCCUUCAUCUCUGUGGGGAAGCCGCCCGCUGCCGGGCAGGGACAAACGUCUUCAGGGACGCUUGGGGCGUGAGCAACACCACCUGGAACAGGGAACGCCGGGCCCCUCUCAAUGUGGGGAUUGGUCAAUCCUGUAACGAGUCCAUGUUGCGAUGGACCGUUGCAACGCGCGGUAAGGGGUGGGCCGGUUUAUCGGCUUAAGGUACGUGCUAAUCCCUCGAGUAAUCGAGCGUCUACACCAAGACCCGGCAGGUCAAAGUGUAGGGCAGUUGUCCCCCAAUCUUCGGGGGUUGCAGCUGGGAAAUGAGGGGAGUUUGGUCAGCUUUUAGUGGCGCAAGUAGUUGUCUAUCAAAACCGGACCUUGCAAGCUCAGCUGACCAGACUCCUUCCUUGCUUUGGAAUGCUGUGAUGCUCUUAGAUGUUCUGGGCCGCACGCGCGCUACACUGACAGAGCCAACGAGUUCACCACCUUAGCCGGAAGGCUUGGGUAAUCUUGUUAAACUCUGUCGUGCUGGGGAUAGAGCAUUGCAAUUAUUGCUCUUCAACGAGGAAUGCCUAGUAAGCGCGAGUCAUCAGCUUGCGUUGAUUACGUCCCUGCCCUUUGUACACACCGCCCGUCGCUACUACCGAUUGAAUGGCUCAGUGAGGCCUUCGGACUGGCCCCAGGAGGUUGGCAACGACCACCCGGGGCCGGGAAGCUGGUCAAACU
rnacentral:rRNA from 1 species